CUCCCCCCGCUUCCACCGCGCGCCGCCACCUCUCCCCCUUCCACCGCGCGCCGCCACCUCUCCCCCUUCCACCGCGCGCCGCCUCCUCCCCCCGCUUCCACCGCGCGCCGCCACCUCUCCCCCUUCCACCGCGCGCCGCCUCCUCCCCCCGCUUCCACCGCGCGCCGCCACCUCUCCCCCUUCCACCGCGCGCCGCCUCCUCCCCCCGCUUCCACCGCGCGCCGCCUCCUCCCCCCGCUUCCACCGCGCGCCGCCACCUCUCCCCCUUCCACGCUCCUCCCCAUCCACUGGGCGCCGCCACCUCCUCCUUGGCCAAAUCCGCCGCGCGCCGCCACCUCGCUCCCCAUCCACCGCGCCCCGCUUCCCCCUCUGCCUCGGCGAAAUCCUCCCACCUCCUCCACACCUUCAUCCAAGUCGGCGGCGGCGGCGAGUUCAAAGUUCGAAGCUGCAAGCGCGGUGGUUCCCUGAGCCAGAGAAGGUGUGUUUCGAUUUGGGAAGAAGAAGGCCUUGCUGUCCAGUGAGCAGGCAACCAUAAAAAGGGCUAGCAGAGGUGCUGUAAAAGAAAAUCAAGAACCUACAAGAACCAUAAAAGAGAUGAUUUGUAUUGUUUUUGGAACCUCGAUACACCUACAAGAACCUUAGUUGCAUCUAAGUUAUGUAAUUAUUGCUAUGUACUUGAAGAACUCCAUUAUAUCUAAGUUGGACAUUUAUGUAAUAGCUAUUUGAGCUGAUGGACAACUGCUAUUUGUAUCAGAAUACUGCUAUUGUGAUACUGGUACUUGAAGGCUACUUGAUGGAUGAACAAUAGUUAUGAAUAGUUUAAUAUUGUGUUAUGCAUGUGUGUAACUUACUAAAAAUGAUAAUCUGUGUUGCAAAAUUUGGAGUGGUA
rnacentral:lncRNA from 1 species